rnacentral:rRNA from 1 species
UACAGAGGGUGCGAGCGUUAAUCGGAAUUACUGGGCGUAAAGGGCGCGUAGGUGGUCUGUCAAGUAAGAUGUGAAAUCCCUGGGCUCAACCUAGGAAUUGCAUCUUAGACUGGUGGACUGGAGUACGGUAGAGGGUAGCGGAAUUUCCGGUGUAGCGGUGAAAUGCGUAGAGAUCGGAAGGAACACCAGUGGCGAAGGCGGCUACCUGGACUGUUACUGACACUGAGGCGCGAGAGCGUGGGGAGCGAACAGG